UACGGAGGGGGCUAGCGUUGUUCGGAAUUACUGGGCGUAAAGCGCACGUAGGCGGCUUUGUAAGUUAGAGGUGAAAGCCCGGAGCUCAACUCCGGAAUUGCCUUUAAGACUGCAUCGCUAGAAUUGUGGAGAGGUAAGUGGAAUUCCCGGUGUAGUGGUGAAAUGCGUAGAUAUCGGGAGGAACACCAGUGGCGAAGGCGACUACCUGGCCCAUUCUUGACACUGAGGCGCGAAAGCUAGGGGAGCGAACGGG
rnacentral:rRNA from 1 species